rnacentral:lncRNA from 1 species
CUAGAACCAUAUAGUAGCGAUAGAGCGGCCAUGGCGCUAGCUACAGCUGGCAAGGAGGGCGGCCACGAUGCUGUCCGAGAGCACCUUGAAACGCUGUUCCUGGGGCAGCAGAACGCGCAUCUUCUCGAUGAUGUGAUUGUUGGUUUCGUAAACACAAACGAGUUCAAGCAGCGCCGAUACACGGUUCAGGAGCUCAUGACCUGCGCUCCAUCUUGGGGAAGGCCGAAGCACUUCAAGUUUGUGCAUGCUGAGAUUCCGUACCUGGCGACAGUGGACUUCUGGGAGGGAUCACAAGUCGACUUUGUCGUCAUCAGGCUCCCGAACAACGGCUUCACCUACAGAAACCUGCCGUGCAACCUGC